GAAUCUUGCACAAUGGGCGAAAGCCUGAUGCAGCGACGCCGCGUGCGGGACGAAGGCCUUCGGGUUGUAAACCGCUUUCAGCAGGGACGAGGCCGCAAGGUGACGGUACCUGCAGAAGAAGCCCCGGCUCACUACGUGCCAGCAGCCGCGGUAAUACGUAGGGGGCGAGCGUUAUCCGGAUUCAUUGGGCGUAAAGCGCGCGUAGGCGGCCCGUUAGGUCGGGAGUUAAAUCCGGGGGCUCAACCCCCGCCCGCUCCCGAUACCGGCGGGCUUGAGUCUGGUAGGGGAAGGCGGAAUUCCCAGUGUAGCGGUGGAAAGCGCAGAUAUUGGGAAGAACACCGGUGGCGAAGGCGGCCUUCUGGGCCACGACUGACGCUGAGGCGCGAAAGCUAGGGGAGCGAACA
rnacentral:rRNA from 1 species